UAGGCAAUUAAAGUUGGAUAUAUUAUUUAAAUCGAUGUGAAUAAUUGAAUCAUUUUUCACGCUUUAAUAGCCAGUAGCCAAACACGUUAUUAAUAAUUUUGUUAUAGGUACGAUUUGAUUUUUCAGAUCAUGCUGGUUAACCAUGAAACCGAGCCACUUAUGAAUGAUGGUUCAAGUAAGAAUAUUUCAUACACUGGUACUUACUUACCUCUUUAACAAAUCCGGAAUUACGAAACUGGAACUUCAUUUUUGAUUUUGGAAAUAUCACAACAUCAGGUAAGUAAUUAUUGACAAAAAAUUGAAUUUUUUCACUAUAAUAAAUUCAUAACUGCACGAUAUUUUUCUUUAGGUGCGUGCAUUUCACGUUUUACCAGGCGGUUUAUUCGCACAACUCGAUGAUCGCUUUUAUCUUAUCGUCAGACGAAAUUCUCAACUCGAAGAAAA